GACGAACCGUGCGAACGUUAUCCGGAUUUACUGGGCGUAAAGCGCGUUCAGGCGGUUUGACAAGUCGGGCAUGAAAUCUCUCGGCUCAACCGGGAGAGGUUGUCCGAUACUGUCAGACUGGAGGGCAGUAGAGGGUGGUGGAAUUCCGGGUGUAGUGGUGAAAUGCGUAGAGAUCCGGAGGAACACCAGUGGCGAAAGCGGCCACCUGGACUGCACCUGACGCUGAAACGCGAAAGCUAGGGGAGCGAACGGG
rnacentral:rRNA from 1 species